rnacentral:rRNA from 1 species
GAUGAACGCUGGCGGCGUGCCUAAUACAGGCAAGUCGAGCGAACAGACGAGGAGCUUGGUCCUCUGAUGUUAGCGGCGGACGGGUGAGUAACACGUGGAUAAAUUACCUAUAAGACUGGGAUAACUUCGGGAAACCGGAGCUAAUACCGGAUAAUAUAUUGAACCGCAUGGUUCAAUAGUUAAAGACGGUUUUGCUGUCACUUAUAGAUGGAUCCUCGCCGCAUUAGCUAGUUGGUAAGGUAACGGCUUAGCAAGGUAGCGAUGCGUAGCCGACCUGAGAGGGUGAUCGGCCACACUGGAACUGAGACACGGUCCAGACUCCUACGGGAGGCAGCAGUAGGGAAUCUUCCGCAAUGGGCGAAAGCCUGACGGAGCAACGCCGCGUGAGUGAUGAAGGUCUUCGGAUCGUAAAACUCUGUUAUUACGGAAGAACAAAUGUGUAAGUAACUAUGCACGUCUUGACGGUACCUAAUCAGAAAGCCCCGGCUAACUACGUU